UUCAGAGUAGAUUCAAGCACAGACACCCCACACCUCGCUCAACGGCAAAAGAAGCCCCCCACUCCGGGCAAGCACCGCGGGCAAAUACCAAACUCAUUCCCAAAGGAUGGAAGCCGGGGUGAGGAGGGAUGGGCACGGCGGAGCCUAUCCUGGCCGUCCCGCGUGGGGAUGCGCGGCGCCCCACGCCGCGGUUAUGGCGCAUCCCCACCCACGCACUUUAGGAGGUGGGUCGUGCCGAAAGAGUACGGCGUCUCUCCACACGCACAUUUCUUCUUAUUUUUUUCUUUUUUUUUUUUUUUUUCCUUUGCAAUUAGGCUUAUAACGAGCUUAUUGCAGUAUGUGCUUCUGGGCCAAUAAUACUUGUUUUUAACCUAAUUAAAGCCGACCUUUUAAAAUAUCUGAAAUAUAAACACGCCUUUUUUUUUUUUUUUUUUUUUUCUCUCUCUCUCCCCCCUCCUUUCUUUCUCUGGUUUAACAAUUUAACGUUUGACUCUCUGGGCUGGAACAUGCAACCUUUCACCAGAGCACGGAGAGAGAGAGGGAGGGGGAAAGUGGCAAAAAGCUGCGAAUGAGGCAGAGGGACUGGCUUUGCCCGAGCAUCCGCGACACGCUUCCAGCAACAACAAUCUCAUACUUUAACGCCUUUGCAGACAGAGCAACCUCAGCCCGGUGGUGCUCGGCCGCCCUUUUGUUCCCGGCGGAGAGACCCGGUGUGGCUCGGCUCGGCCCGCCGGGGCUGCGGGGAGCCCGGUCCUCCCCUCCCUCCUCUCGCGGAGCGGGGACGUGAUAAAAGGAGACAGGGCUCUGAAAGGAUUUGAUUGAAAUGGCGUGUGCCAAGCUGAUGGGAGCCAGCGAGGGACAAAGCGCCGAGGAGCCAUGGACACUCGAGCAAUUAUUCCUCCACGCUGAAGGUGGAUUAGUGCAAUGGAAAGAAGCAUAUGUUCGGCCUGGGGCGACACUCCCCCUGGCUGGGUUUAGAGAAUGAGAGCGGAGAAAGAGGCUGAACCUGGAAUAUCAACUAUCCGGGAGACAGCCCACCCCACCCCCUCUUAUCCCAGCCUCUCCAAAAGUCUCAGAAAUAGAGACAGAAAUAUACACGCCCAUAAAGAUAAAUAUAUAGAUACGAACAAACAGGCAAACACCCAGAAAUACAGCUGAACACACACCUCUAGGUACAGCCGCAUGUGCACACGGUGCUGGCACACCGGCUCUGCACUGAUAGGCAGGAGCAAGAGGCGCCCUAGGUGAAAAACCUCCCCGGGUACGACAAUGUGAACAAAUAAACAGUCGGCCUCCAAGAAGGUCAUAGCAGCAGCCAGUUCUGCUGGAGGCUCCAGUUUCCCCAGACCUUUCCCAGGAAACUUUCCAAAAGCAGCUGCAGCAAGGAAUGGGUGAUCUUCAUACCUCCUACCAGGGCCUUGUCCAGGCCCUCCUGGAAACACAAAGCAAAAUCUAAAUUGCCCCUUUUCCAUCUGACUUUCUUAUGAGCCACAGCCACCUCCUGUUUUCCUUCCCUUUCCCUAGGUCCCUGCAAAACCCCAUCCUUACGAGCAGGAUAGCUGCAAGCUCUCCCAAGGGCAUGAGGAUGGGAAGAAGACCCAGCAGCCAGCCUGUCAGCCUCCAUCCCAAUCAUCAGCAUGCCAGGAUGCUCAUCAAGGCUCCAUGGCAAUGGGACACCCAUCAACUGCGGUCUUGGAUCAUCUACACCCAUACACAGGCUCCAAAACUCAGGCAGGCACGGCAGGAGCACAUUUUUAGCACUAAUAAAGUGCAGCUCGUUAGGACUCAUGAGAAAAAAGAGCACUGAGGCCAGGCAAAGCUCCUGCUUUCCUCCCAGCACUGCCCCACUGGCCCUCCCGGGCCUGGGCACACCAGCAUGUGCUGCAGUGUUGGGCAUCUCCCCAGCUGUUGUCCAAGCCGUCCCAGGCUUCGCAGGGCAGAGAGAUAAACUCCACCACAGGAGAGGAGGAGACAGGACAAGCACAGGCAACAGCAUCCAGCAGCAUGGCAGAGGGCAAGGAGGACAAGCUGGAGGGAAGGAUGCCUGCCAGUAAACUUUAAUGGGAAGGAGAGAGAAAGAGGGAAGAAAAGGGAAUUGCAACUCUUCCCUUCUCCUGGGAGCCCCAAAUAUUUCACAUCGCUACUUCUUUACCCUUAGCUUUGGGGAUCAGAAUGGAUCAUACACAGAGAGGAGGGGGCCAGCUCUGGCCAAAGCAAUGCUGAAGCAGGAAGUUCUGCAGGAGGAACAAGCAGGUAGAAACAUAACCAAAAACACUGGAGAGGAGCAAAAUACAUCCCUCAACCUGCGAGUGUAAUUGCACAGCUCACACUCCCACAAGGAAGCAACUCUCCAUUCAGAACUCUUGUAUCUGCUUUUAGUUGAGCAUUACAAAGAGAAUUAACCAUACCACAGGCUACGACAGCAGUGGGGCUUGAGAGCAUCUCUGGACAGAAAAGGUUUUCAUGCAGGUGAAGUAGAUCUCCUAUAGAAAAUAGGAUAUGUGUGCAUGUGCACACAACAUGCUCAAGGAACAACAUGGUGAAAUGGCUUGCACUUCACACCUGACAGUCCUCCACCUUCCUGCUGAACACAAGACAAUUUUUUCCUCACCUAGGCUAUGCUUCCCCAGUUUACCCUCCUUGCCCUGGUUUGAAGAUCCGCUCUGCAAAUGAGCUCUGUGACUACAAAACAAGACAACAACUAUGGAGCUUGGAGUAACCUCAGGGCCCUGGUUUUGAGAGGGAGGGACUCAUGGGGAAACCACAGGCUCUGGGUGCCAGGAUGUGCCUUGCAAAAUCAGAGCCUGAAAGAAAAGUGCCACAGGGAACCAGCAGGUCCCUCCUACACUACCAGAAAGCUCUCAAUAGUCUUACCCUGAUUUCCACACUACAUUCACUCAGUGAAGAUGCUCUAACUGCUCAGUUGGUAUGAUAAAAAUUUUGGGCCACCAAAGUUAAACUCAGCAUCAGAGAGACAUGACUGCAGUUAUUGUAAGAGGGAAUAAAAUACCACAGAUUUGUCACCUUCAUAUCUACAGCACCAGAAAGGAGUAACAGUUCAAGGAUACAAAUAUUUACUGCCACCAUCAGCUAUAUAUCUGUUUACCCUUCCUGAAAUAUCAGCUGUUUCAUUCAUCCAAGAAAGCUUAGAAACUUUAACUAGAAGAAGAAAAACAAGGCUGUUUUGCUAUUCUGAAGCCAGUAAGACUUUGCUAAUGAUGGGUAAUAAAAUACUUUCACUUUUCCUCUGUUUCUAACAGCUUGCUUUAAACUACUUUUUGGGAGUUUGGAGUUACUAAACUAAAUACUGCAAAUGGAGAGGGUGCAGCCUAUGCAGAAUAAAUGAUUUAGGAACUGGGCUUGGCUGAUUUAUUUUUUCCUCUGUACUGGAGAUAAAAAGAAGGAACACAUUCUAGUAAACCCUACUCAUUUUCACAGCCAUUCUUGCACCUGUAACUCAAAUAAUGAAGCCAUUUGUUAUUUAUAUUGCACUUUCCCCUCCAUUCUAGAUUUCUAACGAUCUGACCCUGCUUUAUGGCCCUGACAAAGCCUGAAACCAGUGUGGACUUCCAAUAAUUGAACGAUAUAAGGAAAAAUCUUUAACUAGAAUGAAGCAGAUGUUAGCUUCAUGCAGUUCCCUAACUUGAUUAUUCUUUGGCCACGUUAGACAAGCAUUAGUGAUUGAUAAUGAUGCUAAUUAACCCCUUUCCUUUCCAAAACAGUAAACCAACGCCAGCAGGAUUCUGCAAACAACACACACACAAAGUGUGUACCAGUAUCUGUUCAAAGUGGAUCAGGGACACAACUUCAUUGCCUGGUGCUUGACUAAAAUCUUAUCCUGCUGACACCAAGCUGGCUCCAAAUUCUCUCUAGGAGUUAAGUUCCAGCUUCUUGCAGGGCAGGGAGAAGAGACAUAGCUCUUUCAUGCAGAAAAGGUGCAUGGGACAAAAUCAAAGGUACCAUGUAUUUUUUUUAUGCUCCCAACCUUUCACGUUUGAUUAUGGAGCCAGUUUAAGUCACUGUGCCCUCACUAGCUGGAAUGGACUUCACACUGAUCCCUGUCAGAAGGGCACGAGUUAUUUUAGCUACACUUUCCUAACAUGAGAGCUGAGGCUCUGGGAAUCUGGUCUGGGCUGAGAUAUUCAUGUACCAAGGAGGGAAAGGGAAGCACACAUUGUGGAAUUCAAAUGGGAGGUACAAGACGAGUAAACAAACAAGGAACUGAUCUGAUUAUGCAGUCGAAUUUAUCAUGGACAGUAAAGAAAUUGCUUUUAAAUGUAAGGGUUUGGAUAAAUGAAUACUCCUAGCCAGUGAAUAAAAUGUAUUCAAUUAACUAAAAACCUUGUGCACUUCUGAACUGAAGUGGAAUCGACUGUAAUUGAUUUAUUUGAAACCAGAGGUUAAGGACUGAAUUAGCUAAGUACAACUGGGUAUUUCAAGCCACUGACUUCUCAAAUGUCAAAUCUCUUCUAUUUUAAAUAUUAUUUCAGCUGCGGGGCAUUGCUGUCCUGAUGGCUGUUCCACCAGUUAAAUCUCAAAUUAUAUUAAUAUUUGAUUUUUGGAGGGUGGGGUAAAAUACGGUACAAAGAGGAGGGCUGUCCUUGUUCACGGUGAAAGAGCACCAAGCUGUAUUUUGGUUCACAUGUAGGAAUUAGCUCAGCGUGGCAGCAAUGCUCUAACAUUCAGCCACCACUCACCCCCGCUCCAACCGAUCUGGGGCGGGGGGGAAAGUAACAACAGAUUUUUGUUUAGUGUAUAAAAGCAUGACCCAGAAUUUCACUGCUGCACCUCAAUCCCAACGUUAAAAAUGCAUCCAAAGAACGCUGAAGUAAUUAGCACGUUUUAGUAACUGCACACUGGUCACAGCAGAAGAGGCUGAACCGAACCUAGUCUGAUUUCCAUUAUCGCCUGUAAAAUCCUUCCUUAGAAAUAAUAGUAAUAAAGAAAUCUAUGCAAGGUCAUUUCAUUUCUGGUUUUUGGUGGCUUGCUAAUCCACAGCAGAAUACCUAAUAUGCGCUCUCCUACCAUGAAGUAGCUAAUUAUAUGUUUAAAACAUUAUUUAUUAUGACCUUAUAAUGUUCUAGCAUAAGAUUGCUUUAUACAUUGACCAGUAUAAAACGAUUAUAUUGGGUACAGGUUUCAAAAAGUAACAAGCAUCUGUAAAUCCAGAUAUGAAUGAAUGGUAUUUAAUAAGAUUGUUUUCGUUUAAAAAUGAGUAUUUAUGUGUUGCUGUAGAAAGAGCAGCAAUGUAUUGCUGUUUAUGAAUGCUAUUGUGCCUGAGGUUAGGAUCCCACACACAAUCUGAGAUGCAGCCAAGAAAAACAGCCCUGAUAGACAAUGCUUCACUUCACCUGCUAUAGUACUGUGCAUUUCAUUUAUGUCAAGAAUAUGUACAGUUAGGGUUCAUUCACCUCAUUAUUUUGUUACAUCUACUUUACGGUUAACCAGUCUCUCUUGGAAAUAAUAAAUAACUGUUUUUAAAACAAUUGCAGCUUUGCAUUCAAAAGAUCCACUUUCAAUUUAUAGAAAAAAAAAUAUUCACCAUUUUUAUAAACUAGCUGGCUCACGAAAAUAGAAUUUAGACUCCACCAACUCUCUUUCUGCUUGGCAAGAUUGAUUUUACACUGCCUUCCAUAAGUAGAUUACCAAAGCAAAAUGAAACAUCUUGGGCUUUAUCUAAUGCUUUGCUUCACCAGCUCUACCAAACGUCAAAAUAUAUGAGUAAAUGUUAAUUCUCUGUGCAGCUUUAUUGUAAACACCUCCCUCCUAACCUCCUCAAUUUCUGCCUGAGCAAAAAGGGGAAAAAAGGGAGGGGGAGAGAGAGAGAGAGAGAGAGGGAGGCAGGAAGGGAAGGAAAGAGAAAAAUCAGGCUCCACUACUAGAAUACCAUCAACACUUAAAGGAGACCCUCUUUUUAAAAUGCCUUUACAUUCUAAACUCCAUUAAGUCUCCCUUCCUAUGAUAUAACAUAAUCCAGCCUGAUCCUGACUUCACCUACCCCCUGGGCCAAAGAAGAUAGAUUCAAAAUCUGAAUUCUCACAUGUUUUUAUAGACCAUCUUCAAGACAUACACUCCAUUUUUUUAAAGCAAACUUCCCUGUUUCACAACUGGUUUCUACAAGAAGAAACUCAAGAUAAAAAUUUCAGUCCCUUACAAACUGACACAGCCAUCUCAAAAUGUCAGUCUGUGCGUUCCACUAAAACACGAACCAUCAAUCAGAAAUAAUCUGUCUCCUGCAAGAUUUCACUAAAGUUCACAACCGUGAGAUGAUUUUGUUGGCAUCAACUGCGGAGCUUUUUUUUUUUCUUGAGGGGGAGGGAGCACCCAGCUCUGAUUUACCAGUAUAAAUUAUUUUUUUUCAUAGCAAUAAUUUUCAGUAUUUUCUCAGUAAUAAUUCUUUUAAAAGUGUCCUUCUUGAGAUGUGUUUUUUAAUCUCUGCUCUCUAUUAGGACAACUACAUGUACAAAAUUUUAUAGGCUUAUAAUUCUGUAUGCUGUAUAAAAACAUAAAUAAAAACCUAGAGGUCAACAUAAAUAAAAUAAAACUUUUAUUUUUUAAAUAAAAUUAUGUUUCGGUUAAAGAAAAGAUAGUGUGUCAUUUUUGUUAGUAGUACAGACAAUUUUUUAUCCAAAAGAAUACAUUGUGCUUUAUUGUGUCAUUUGUCUGAAUACAGACUCAGUGGAAUAUCUAAAUGAUACCCUGCUCUGAACUCCAAGUUGAAAGUAAGUUUUUAUUAUACUUGAGGGAAACAAUGGGUUCAGCUGCUUAUUGCAAGGAGCAAUUGUCAAGGGAGAGUUAAACUCAAUUACUGUAACCAUACUGAAUAAAAAAUACUGCCAAGAACAAAAAUACGCCUGGGUAAAGACAGCUACUGAAUAAAAAAAUCGACAUAAAGCGUAUCAAAUAUUUAUUUAUCUGGGCAACAAAGGACUAUGAUACAUUGAUAGGCAUGGAAACUACUGCCGGCACAACUCAAUACAACACAACUAUAACUGCUUCCAAUAUGGCCAGUGGAAAUACAGGAUACCAGGUGGUCCCGAAUGUUUGAAGUUCUUUGGGAAAAAAAAAAAAAAAGAAAAAAGAUAAAAAUAAAAAUAAAAACAAAAGAAAGGGAGAAAAAAAAAGGGGGGGAAAAAAGGAAAGUAAAGCUAAAUCUUGUUUUAAAAGACAGUAUUAAUUUAUUGCUCUGUUGGUGCUUUCAGGAGAAGGACAGUGGAUGAAAAUAACUUUUUUCAUUUUCCACAACACAUAAGGGUUGUAAAACCACUAACAUGUUUAAAAACCUUGCCAGGGUCCAACAUCACUUUAUUUUAUCUUCAAUGAGAAACUAAAUGUCAUACUAAUUAUAUAUAAAAAUUAAUGGUUUUUUAUUUGUUCAGCUGCUUCAUUGUCGCUUUUAACAUGCUACAAUAGGGCUAAAAAUGAUGAAUCCCAGAGAAAAACCCCCAAAAAACCUCUGAUAUCUAAAUAAGUACCAUGAACCACAUGAUGAACUAAGAGGGGAAGAUUUAAAACCCACUAAACAAGAGGUAAACGAGAUCACCAGAUAAAUAAAAAAAGGCUUAAAACAGACUCACCAUAUUUACAAUUCCCAUUAAAUUACACAUAAAUAAAUAUAUACAUACAUGAACACUGAUUCCCUUAUAUAAUAACCGUGAAUCGUGUUGCAAUAGAAAGUUCAAGUUGGUCGCUUUACCUUGGACAGGAAAAAGUUCUACAACUGAAGAUAUGACAUGGAACCGCUUGUGUUUUGUGUUCAAGUUUAUUCACAAUACUGAUAAAAUGUCAUCAGUCCUCUUUGCCUUUUGUCUGUCUGCUGUUGCUGUUGUACUUUUUCACUUUUUUUUUUCAUUUUUAGUAUGGCUACAAUCUUAACUGAAGUUUACGUAAGGGAAGGUGGUGAUUCAGUCCGGUGAAGCUCAUAGAAUUUUUAAGUAUCAUUUAUUUCUUUUUGAUUUUUUUUUAAUUUUUU